rnacentral:rRNA from 1 species
UACAGAGGUCUCGAGCGUUAGGCGGAAUCACUGGGCUUAAAGCGUGUGUAGGCGGAUCGUUAAGUGCCUUGUGAAAUCCCACGGCUCAACCGUGGAACUGCUUGGCAUACUGGCGGUCUUGAGCAACCUAGGGGCGAGCGGAACAAAUGGUGGAGCGGUGAAAUGCGUAGAUAUCUGGAGGAACACCGAAGGCGAAGGCAGUCUCCUGGCAAGUUACUGGCGCUCAGGUGCGAAAGCUAGGGGAGCGAACAGG